rnacentral:rRNA from 1 species
UACGGGAGGGAGCUAGCGUUAUUUCGGAAUUACUGGGCGUAAAGCGCACGUAGGCGGCUUUGUAAAGUAACGAGGUGGAAAGCCUGGUGCUCAACACCAGAACUGCCUUUUAGACUGCAUCGCUUGAAUCCAGGAGAGGUGAGUGGAAUUCCGAGUGUAGAGGUGAAAUUCGUAGAUAUUCGGAAGAACACCAGUGGCGAAGGCGGCUCACUGGACUGGUAUUGACGCUGAGGUGGCGAAAAGCGUGGGGAGCAAACACGG